rnacentral:rRNA from 1 species
UACAGAGGUCUCAAGCGUUGUUCGGAUUUAUUGGGCGUAAAGAGCUCGUAGGCGGCUCGUCGCGUCGACCGUGAAAACUUGGGGCUUAACCCUAAGCUUGCGGUUGAUACGGGCGGGCUAGAGUUCGGUAGGGGAGACUGGAAUUCCUGGUGUAGCGGUGAAAUGCGCAGAUAUCAGGAGGAACACCGGUGGCGAAGGCGGGUCUCUGGGCCGAUACUGACGCUGAGGAGCGAAAGCGUGGGGAGCGAACAGG